rnacentral:lncRNA from 1 species
GGGUUGUUGUAUAUUUGAUACAUUCCUCAUUUCCAUUCUCAAUUUUAUCUUGGACAGUGGCGUAGCCAGGGUUAGAACGAUGUGGAUGCGAACUGUCGCCUUUGGGACUUUUGUAUGCAGAAAAUUAAAUUUUUCCUGUAUGCAUGUCAGUGUAUUCCCCUAGAAUGCGACACUGGUUAGAUUUUCUUUUAAUUUCAAAAUACCCACCAGUAUACAUUAUAUUUCCAACAGAAUUUUAUGAACAAUACUACCAUCAUUAAAUUCAGAAAUAUUUAAUGUAAAAGUUUCACACCAAAUCUUAUUUGACAUCUCAAAACCAAACCCAUUACAGCGGCACUUCUGUAUAUGGAACUUCGGAAUAUAGGAAUCGAAGUGACACCCCCUCCUUUCCUGGAAUUUGAGCCUCCCAAUGGGGUUUUUGAUUACUUGUCUUAACUCAUUGCUGCGAGAGGAUAUGGAAAUACCGGGCGUCCGUCCGUCCAGUCUUGUUAGCGCUGUCAUUUGUACAAUUCUUGCCAGAUUUUUGUGAAACUUAUAUCAUCAUGCAGCAAUGUCUUUCACACAUGAGAAUAUAAAUCCUGAUCAAAUAUUUUUAACCAAUAUAAUGCCACUUGCAAAUAUAAAUUAUAAAUGCAAAUCUCAUUGUAUUUGUUUGGAAGCUUUUUCUCUCGAGAUAUAAAUUUAAAAAAAGAAAAAGUGCUUUGUUUAGUUUUUGCCCUCGUGUAUUAAAAUAUGUAUUUUGGAUGCGGGGGACAUUGGAUCUCUGAUCUUUUAUUGAAAACAAUUAACAUUAAUAUUUGUACCUAUACGGCUGCGGAAAUGAUUGGAAGCUAUUCUCAUAUUCUCAUAUACAUUCGGAUACCAUCAUGUGUAUAUGCUGUCAACUGUCAUUAUAUAAUUAUUAAAAAAAGAUAUUUUUUUUGUCAAACUGAUGUGGAUGCUUGAGCAUCUGAGCAUACAUGCAAGCUACGCCACUG